AAGCCAGACUCCUACGGGAGGCAGCAGUGGGGGAUAUUGCACAAUGGGGGAAACCCUGAUGCAGCGACGCCGCGUGAGUGAAGAAGUAUUUCGGUAUGUAAAGCUCUAUCAGCAGGGAAGAAAAUGACAGUACCUGACCAAGAAGCCCCGGCUAACUACGUGCCAGCAGCCGCGGUAAUACGUAGGGGGCAAGCGUUAUCCGGAUUUACUGGGUGUAAAGGGAGCGUAGACGGUUAUGUAAGUCUGGAGUGAAAGCCCGGGGCCCAACCCCGGGACUGCUUUUGAAACUGUUAAGCUUGAGUGCAGGAGAGGUAAGCGGAAUUCCUAGUGUAGCGGUGAAAUGCGUAGAUAUUAGGAGGACCACCAGUGGCGAAGGCGGCCGCCUGGCCUGUUACUGACGCUCAGGCACGAAAGCGUGGGGAGCAAAUAGGAUUAGAUCCCCCAGUA
rnacentral:rRNA from 1 species